AUCGCUUCUCGGCCUUUUGGCUAAGAUCAAGUGUAGACUCAAGAUGAACAUUCAAAUAAUUACUUAAGCUUCUUAAAGUUGUGACCCACUUCCUGAUCAAUAGUCAAAAUCAGUAUAUGAAUAUAUAUAUAUAUAUAUAUAUACUGAUUUUGACUAUUGAUCAGGAAGUGGGUCACAACUUUAAGAAGCUUAU